AACGAACGCUGGCGGCGUGGAUAAGACAUGCAAGUCGAACGGGAACUUCAGCUGUAGCAAUACAGUUGAAGUUUUAGUGGCGAACGGGUGCGUAACACGUGGGCAAUCUGCCGAGAAGUGGGGGAGUAGCUCGCCGAAAGGACGAAUUAAUACCGCAUAUGAUCAGCUAAGACAUCUUAGCGACAUCAAAGACCGGGGCGAACCUGGCGCUUUUUGUAGGAGCCCGCCGGCCUAUCAGCUAGUUGGUGAGGUAACGGCUCACCAAGGCUAUGACGGGUAGCUGGUCUGAGAGGACGACCA
rnacentral:rRNA from 1 species